CCGCGGUAAUACGUAGGGAGCAAGCGUUGUCCGGAAUCAUUGGGCGUAAAGCGCGUGUAGGCGGUUUCGUAAGUCUGCUGUGAAAGUCGGAGGCUCAACCUUCGAAUGCCAGUGGAUACUGCGAGACUUGAGUCCGGAAGAGGAGAUUGGAAUUCCUGGUGUAGCGGUGAAAUGCGCAGAUAUCAGGAGGAACACCAACGGCGAAGGCAGAUCUCUGGGACGGUACUGACGCUGAGACGCGAAAGCGUGG
rnacentral:rRNA from 1 species